GAGUGCGUCCGGAAAUCAUUUUCGAUUUUCAGAAAUAUUUUUAAAUAUUUGUGUGGUGCCUAAGAAAAACAUAGGAUGAGUGUAGAAAUUCGGAAUGAGGGAAGUAGACUGCUCUGAUAUUGAUUAGUCCAACCCAAAGAUAAACCCAACCUAGUUGCGGAUGGGUCAAUUUAAGCCCAUUCAAUGUCAAGCAGCACAAAACCAUGACGUUUUUCUGUAACAACUUGAUCCAAAUCCAUCUCUUCCCCGAUACCGCUUACACGUUGCCGAAAGCCCAAAACUGUGAGGUGACUCAUUUGAAAAGCUAUGUAAUAUCUACAUUUUGAACUCUACAGUUGCACAUGUUGCGUUGUUAGGAUUUAAUGAAAACAUUUUUUUGUCGGACUAGGAUGUAGCCAUUUCUGUUAAAAUAGCAACGGUAUUGACAUAAUAUCCGGAACUGCAACGACAAAAAGGGCUACAUCUUAGUCUGACAAGGAAAAUGCAGAGCUACUACUCAUUGGAAUGGGGGAGAGGAUUUCAUUAUGUAGUGCUCACUGCUCCCAGCCUGUGAAAUAUGGUAAGCUAUGCAAUGUAAGAUUAAAUAAGUUUUUGGAAGAAAUAAAAUGAAUAAUUAGAUUGUUUCAGCUUGCAUUAGUGAAAAAUAUAACUGCUACCGAAAUUUGAGUUCAACAUAUUUCCUUAUCUUUACUGUGAUUUGUUGAACCAUUGCUGUCUUCCACAAUGAACAUUUAUCGUGAAUCUUAGGCCCUCUUUACUUUCUGAAAAAGUUCUUCAGUUUGUAUUUUCUUAAAUAUAUGUCGUUUGAAAUGGAGGGGAAGCUAGGGGUAAUGCAUUUUUAGAAAUAAUGAAAACAAUGUUUUGCCAUUUUCAAAAUUUUAUAACAGGCUAGAUAUAUUUCAAAUAUUGUGAAAGAAAAUGAUAAGGAAAGUAUUGAGUCUAUAUUCUCUUAUGGUUAUUAUUUGUAAUGGAAAUUAAAGCAGGAAAUGCGAGAAGUCAAUCGACCGUUUUUGGUUCUCAAUUAUGAAAAGGAUAUUAAAUUUGGUUUUGUGGUUCUCACCGUUUCUAACAUUGUAUAAAACAUUCAAUGGAUGUUGAAGCAACACUUCCUUGAAUUUGCAUCUGAUAUGCUAUUAUAGUCUGUGACUUUGAUAUCCAUGAUAGGAAUGAAUUCAUGUUGGCUGACAUGUUAAUCUUCCAUUUUGAUUUUCAAACACAAUGAAGUUUGAUGAAAAUGAAUUUUUCAGUAUACUUUUUUGAUAAAAAGAAUGCCUUGUUUUAGGUAAAUCGGCAAGUUACUUAUCCUGUCUCAUACAUGUGACUUGGUAAGUCUAGCAUGCUCUUUAUCGUAUUAAUAUGAACUAGAUUAUUUUUUUCUGUUUUCCAGUGCAAACUAUAAUUGAUCUUCAGCAAAACACACACCCCAAAAUCAUAAGAGAAAAACUAUAAAGAUAAAUUCCUAUUAAAUACUGUUUUACACAAUGAGACACAUUUUUACGGAUCUAUAAUGCUCAACAACUCUAUUUUUGUUGGUUGUGAUAAGACUUGUCUGUAGGGUCCAAAGACUGAAUAUACGAUAGUUCGUUAGAUUUGAAUUCCUCCAAAAGAUAGCAUUACAAAAGAAUUUCACUAUAAUCUUGAUGAAAGUGAGUACUAGUGCAAAUACAUCUUUUCUUUCCGUGAAUGAAACUAAAAGAAAACAUUUUCUGUUGGAGGAACUGGGAUCAUCGUCUAUAAUGUCAUUUUAGACGAUGCUGAUUCAUUGAAUUUCUUUCCAAAACUUAUGUUGUAGCUUGACUGUACAAAAUACAUGGCUCUCUAUCACAAAACUCUUAAAACUUAAGAUUGAAACAAGAGAAAAAAACCAACCAACUGUUUCGAAGAACUAUUGAGAAUGCAGAUACAGCUCACUAUGUUUCUAUCCUGCUCUGCAUUUCCAAGCAUGCCACACUCUUCUGAAUGUUACCGGCUCAGCUUAGUUUUGCUUUCUCUCCUGGUCAAGGGAACAAGAUAUGUUAAGCCCUGUUGUGAAUAGGAUCUGACCCUUUUCGCACUCUUCUUUUGCUCGACUGAUUUGGAUCAAGCCUGUUGUUGACAUUUGCUGAACUCUUCUUUGUAGGAACAGACACAUUGUGGACAUUUGCAGAACUCUUUGUGUUCAACGGUUCCUUCUCUGGAGCUUUCAGAGUAUGUUGAUUCUGCAGCAUUAUCCUGUGCUCUUUUUGACUCUGUUUUAAUGCAAUUUCUGAACUUCUCAGGCCCGAGACUUCGUUCGGUUGAAUAGAUAUUAAGAACCCAACAAAGAGAAGAAGAAUUACUCUAGAAGGAUGAAACACCAUGUUCACUUAAAUCUCUAAAACAAGAAAUAGAAGGUAUGUUCUUUCUGUUUAUAGAGAGACACAAGACAAGAGAGUAAGCACCUACCUCUCUCUGCUAGUACUAUCAGUUUUCUUAUGGUCCAUUCCUGUAGAUAUAAGCUUGUUAUAUAUGUCCCACAAGAUUUGGAGAGAGGCUUUAAAGCUUAAAGCAGAUGGGACCUACAAGAAUUUUAGAUUCAUCUCGAAUCAGAAGCCUGAAAUCUUAACUAAUUAAGGCUGUUAUUUAAGAAUCUGACAAGAAUGAAUAAAGGGGUUGGGAUAAUAUCCUUGAGA